GAUGAAGAACGUAGCGAAAUGCGAUACUUGGUGUGAAUUGCAGAAUCCCGUGAACCAUCGAGUCUUUGAACGCAAGUUGCGCCCGAAGCCACUAGGCCGAGGGCACGCCUGCCUGGGCGUCACACGCCGUUGCCCCCCCAUCUACUCCUUCGGGAUUGCGGGGGGGCGGAUGAUGGCCUCCUGUGCGCCUAGCCGCGCGGUUGGCAUAAAUACCAAGUCCUCGGCGACGCACGCCACGACAAUCGGUGGUUGCGAAACCUCGGUUGCCCGUCGUGUGCGUUCGUCGCGCAUCGAGGGCUCGAAAAAAUGCUCGGCUCCGGCUGGGCUUUCAACGCGACCCCAGGUCAGGCGGGGUUACCCGCUGAAUUUAAGCAUAUCAAUAAGCGGAGGAA
rnacentral:misc_RNA from 1 species